GUAAACCUAAAUAGACAUUUCUCCAAAGAAGAUAUACAGAUGGCCAACAGUGAUCACCAUUUCAGAUGCAUCGAAGCAGUUCUUCUUUCACAGGCUACCCUUGGUGAAAUUGAUCCAACCAGCAGGAGAAGCUGGUGCCCUCUGAGCUAAACAGGCUUCGAGCCCCCAAAUCAGAGAAACUGAAAGAGGAUCUGGCAGAAGAACAACUGCAGAUGCAGCCCCGUAGGUCACCGUGUUUUCUAUACCGAGAUGCCUUUUGGUUUCAGAGGGAUGCCGUGAUAACCCCCAUCCCCAGCACAUCUUCACUGGAGGUUUAUUUACAAUGUACAAUCCAGACACAGCAGGUGCAGCAUACUAAAAGGAUUUCCUAGGCAGUGAGCCUGGUCUCCAGAGAAACGCUCUAAAGGGCUGCACGGAGAUUCUGAAAGUGUCUUUCUGAAAACUGGCUUUAGAAUAUAUGAAUAUCAGAAGAGUGCCCUGAGGUAAAGAAGAUACCACUUUUUAAGGAAAAGAUCCAAUUUGGGAAGCAAGAACUGUGCUUUCCGUGGCCGGAUAGGUAAGAAGACCCUGACCUUCUGACGAUAAGAGUGUAUUAUUUCUGUCACGGCAGGGGACCCAGCACACAAUCUGAGAAGUGAAGAGAUUUGCAAUUUACAUCUUCAUUGCGAUACAGCAAAAAAAAUGCGACGUGGAAAUACAGCUUUUCUUAGAGUUAAUCUACACACCUACAACCCGUGAUAAGAAUUAGAUGUAGUUAGCCUUAGAAAUGAUAAGUUGAGAUACUGUGUAGUUCUCAGUACUGGGGGAGAGCAGGAGACAGGAGAAUAAAAUAGAAAGAUGCAUCCAAGCACUAAAUAGAGAUGUUAAGAAAACUCCACCUGCGGCAAGCCUGGUAUUCACCUGAUGUGUUGUUGCUGUCUCUCAGAUCAUUGGAUACACCUUAAAAUGCAAAUUGCUCCUUUCUAGAUACUGGCAAUUCUUCUCUCUCUUCAGAGGACUGAAGGUUCCUGCUUCUCCUGGAGCCUUUAUUAUCCUUUACUAUUCGGCUCUGAAGAGUCUACUAACGAACAGUGACUCCUAACAAAAAAGGAAAUGAAACCGAUCUACGACGCAGAUUCAUGGAAACCUACUUGAUGGCUAUUUUAUCACUUGUCAAAGAUCAACAGUGUGCAUAAUAACAAUGAAUUAUUACUCUAGUUUUCAGAGUCCAUACCGUAUUUUUCGCAUCCUACGUCCUCCUGGUUUUUAUUAUAAUUCUUAUCGAAUGCUGAAGAGUAGCAGAAUAUACCACCUGAAAAGGGCACUCUGGCAUAAGGAUUAAUUUGAGCUGAUGGCAACUGAGAAGCAGCAGCUACAAGAAAAGCUCUCUGCGUUCCCCCAUUUGCCGAAAAGCAGGACCUAAAUUUGUAAAGGUGUCCUGUCUCCUCUCUACCGGGAAGGACCGAAGUUAGUCACCUGGGACAACUCUAAACUCUAGACCCUGAUGAGCCCAGAGAUGGCAGGUGAGGAAUCUUUACGACAGAGGUGACUCAUCACCCUUAUCUUCCAUUAUUUCCCCACGUAUUUACGUUCCCACAGUUUGCUGCCCUGGAAACUCAAAGUCCUUUCCUUUGUCUUAUCACUUCUCUAAAAAUGUACUGUUCUUUGUUAAGAUGCCAAGUAAGCCCAAGUUCUAACCACCCCCUUUGAGUUACUCCUCACCGAGUGCUCCCUUGUAUAUGGGAGACACCCAUGUUAACAAACUUCUGUUUUUCUCUUGUGGAUCUCUCUUUGCAGGGCCCCAGCCAGAGAACUUAGGAGGGUGCGGGAGAAAGGUUUUGGUCCUUCCCCUACAAGAAUAAAGCUUGCUGUUAUAAAUAUUACACUUCUUCCUCCCCUAUAAUAUUUUAUAAAUGUUACAUUCUUUUUCCCCCUACCCACUUAGAAUGCUAAAUAUUUGAUUCUUUGAGUUCAUAAAAAUGCCUAGUUGACCCUAUUUCCUAGAUUCUAAAACCUUAUCAAUAGUAUGAUACUUUAUUUUUUUCUGAAAUGCUUCAAACCUGAUUUUAGGUGAUAAAACUAAAAGUAAUUGAAUUUAUAUAUCUAUGCAUGUAUGUAAAAUUAUGAAGUAAAGCAAGUUAAUGAUUAAACGGGGGGUCAAUGGAAAGAGUGGACUGUGUGAUUUCUUGAACUGAAUAAGAGGUACCUAGGUUUUUCUUUUAUUACUCUUAUACUUCAAAUACAUUAUUUAUACAUACCUAUAAUAUACAUUUUGCAAAUGUAUACAAAUAUAUGUAUGUGUACACAUAUGGUAUCUCUAUAUAAUUGGUAAAGAUCAAUUUGUGAUGGCUGAGUUCUGAUUUAGAUUGAGCAUGGGCUGUUACUCUGCUUUGAGGUUAUCCCCUUUAGUCAUUUUUAGUCAUUGUUUAUGUAACUCAUGGAUUGAAUGGCUUUUGAAAUAGACUUUCUCCAAUGUAAUUUAGCUGGGAAUAAACAUUUUUUGACAAUAUUAUAUCCCAUUACUUCUCCAAGAUCAAUCUACUAGAAAGCUUUCUUUAAUUAUAAUUGUGUAAAAGGAAGAGUUUUCCCUUACAGCAGCACUUGCCUAGGAGAUAUCAAAAUGAAAAGUAUUUCACUAAAAUUUUAACCAGCUGGCAUUGUUAAAGAAUCACCAACUUUGAGUGACCCACGCAUGCUAGCCUGGCAUUGGACCUGACUGGAGACUCUUUCCUGACAAAGGAGCAAUGCGAUUUGUUUUAACUAAUCAUGAACAGACCUAUGGAUGCAUUCCCCUAUCUGCUUUCAAUCCUUAAUCGGAAAGCCCACCAUGAAAUCCUCUUCCAAACCUUUGAAACCCAGGACUUUCCCCUUGUCUAACUAACUACUCGGGGAAAAUUCUUCACUGGUAUGUUUUUGAAGCUGACAAAUAAACAAACCCAACUUUUUAAAUGGUCUUGUUUUGUUUUGUACUGGCUCCAGUGGAUUUUGCAGUCCUUUUGAAACCUAGGUUCAGGAUAUUGAUUUAACUUAUAGUUUAUUUAGAUCUGAAAAUAUGCUCGUGAGAACGAAGCUGAAGUUAUAUUUAGUCAAUAUUUUAUCUGAUAAUAACUCUUUUGAUGACAUUAUCUUUUUUCAUAAUUUCUUAGAACUGUCUUGCGUCUCAUGUUUUUAUGUCAAUACAAAAGCAGAAACUGACUAUUUUUUCCUUUCUUUUGCCUCCUUUUAUUUUUUGUUCUCAU